rnacentral:lncRNA from 1 species
AUGAACCCUCCUCCAAAUUAUUUUUAUGAUACAAUGUAUGUCUUGCAAUUUAUACAGCUCUCAAAAAAAAAAAAAAAAGGAAGAAGGAAUGUAAAUGUGGCUAAACUAUCUUACAGGAAGCAAUAUAUAAAACUUCCAACUACCAGAACAUUGAAGCACAAAUAAUGGAUCUCUGAUGUGGGUAUCGUGGUUUAACCCCCCAGUUGAAACCAGAUCAGUGGUGAAGUUCCUUCAGUCUCAUAAAGAAAUUUCAACUUUGCUUUUCUGUAGAUGUGUCAUAGAAAUGAGUGACCUUCUUGUAUCCAAACUAUUCUGUGAUUCCUCAUCUGCCACCUGGCAUCUGUGGCACUCCCCCAGCAGUGUCAUUGUGUUAUCAGCCUGAGGACAGGGAAUGAAAAUGCAAG